rnacentral:rRNA from 1 species
CCUACGGGGGGCUGCAGUGGGGAAUAUUGGACAAUGGGGGCAACCCUGAUCCAGCCAUGCCGCGUGUGUGUAGAAGGCCCUCGGGUUGUAAAGCACUUUCAGUGAGGAAGAACGCCUGGUGGUUAAUACCCAUCAGGAAAGACAUCACUCACAGAAGAAGCACCGGCUAACUCCGUGCCAGCAGCCGCGGUAAUACGGAGGGUGCGAGCGUUAAUCGGAAUUACUGGGCGUAAAGCGCGCGUAGGUGGCUUGAUAAGCCGGUUGUGAAAGCCCCGGGCUCAACCUGGGAACGGCAUCCGGAACUGUCAAGCUAGAGUGCAGGAGAGGAAGGUAGAAUUCCCGGUGUAGCGGUGAAAUGCGUAGAGAUCGGGAGGAAUACCAGUGGCGAAGGCGGCCUUCUGGACUGACACUGACACUGAGGUGCGAAAGCGUGGGUAGCAAACAGGAUUAGAUACCCUAGUAGUC